AGAUCACCAUGAUUCAAGUCGAUCUGAACCAUGCUCACUUCUCCAGGUGGUUUCUCGGAAUCGAAAGAUGGCAAAGAUCUGCCAGUACUUCUAAUGGUCUCUUCAAUACUUCACUAUUGGUCUCUUCAAUACUCCAUGUUCCGUUAUCUAACACGCUUUCACCUCUUGCUACAACAAUUAUUUUCAUUGCAUUAUCUUCAUCGAAUUUUUCAUCCAGAAGAAGAUGAUUAUUGUAACUUGUUCGGUGCAGCAUCUGAUACUCUUGAGUAAGAACCCGAUUGUAACAUGGUGAUGGUGUUUGUGAAGUCCUCCAAGUCCAAAUACCAAUCAUGAUUGUGAGAAGAGCUGUGAAGAACUCAACUGUUGUUCCUAGAGGUGGAGCUAUAGAUAUGGAGAUAAGCAAGUACCUGAGGCAGCAUUCAAGAACUAUUGCUUGGAAGUCACAGCUUUUCAUCAACUCUUAUGCGAAGGCUCUGGAGACUGGAGGUACACUUCAUGGUUGACUUGGAUGUUUUAACUUUUGUGCCUCUUGAUUUCACAUAUAAAAAAGAGAAUAUUACUUAUUUCCAUGUGGCCUGUUAGAUCUAGGUCCUUUAACAAUUUCUUUCACAUCUUUCAUGGUUGACUUGGAUGACUUGGGAUGGGCAAACAGGUCCAUGGCUAAUAUCAAUAUCAAAACAAAUGGUUGUUUGUCUGAUACACAUGGUUUAGCAAACAGGUCCAUGACUAAUAUCAAAAGGCAAGAGUCAUAUAUAUACUCAUACGUUGCCACUUCUCCUUGAAACAGAUCUUAACUUGGAUUCGUCAAGCGAGUUUGUUAAGCCGCAGGUCUCUGAAAAACUUUCUUUCUGGAUGUAAAAGGUAAAAUGAUUCUUAAUGAGCUGAUAUUUUUUAUUUUUGCAUAUGUUGACUGGUUAUAUAUAGAGGUUGUAGAUGUUUAGGGUUAGCUUUGAUUGUAAAGCGAGAAAAUCUUGGUGAUUAAGUUCAAAAUCUUGAAAAUCUCGCUAUUUAAAAUUUAUGGUAACUAUAUAAAGCAUAUUCUUUAAAUCCGAUUGUUAAGGUAAAUACUCUUUAAAAAAUCGUUGAUAUGCA